rnacentral:rRNA from 1 species
GGGCUGCAACUAGGAAUAUUCGGCAAUGGGCGAAAGCCUGACCGAGCGACGCCGCGUGCGGGAUGAAGGCCUUCGGGUCGUAAACCGCUGUGGAGAGGGAAAAUAAUGAUUGUACCUCUCUAGAAAGCACCUGCUAACUACGUGCCAGAAGCCUCGGUGAUACGUAGGGUGCAAGCAUUAUCCGGAUUUAUUGGGCGUAAAGAGUAUCGUAGGCGGUUUUGUAAGUGAUUGGUGAAAGCCUCUAGCUCAACUAGAGAACUGCCAGUCAUACUGCAAGGCUAGAGUGAUUUCGGGAAGGCUGGAAUUCUCGGUGUAGGGGUGAAAUCCGUUGAUAUCGAGAGGAACACCAAGGGCGAAGGCAGGCCUUUAGAAAUCUACUGACGCUGAUGAACGAAAGCUUGGGGAGCAAAAGGGAUUAGAUACCCCGGUAGUC